UACGUAGGAGGCGAGCGUUGUCCGGAAUUACUGGGCGUAAAGCGCGCGUAGGCGGACUGACAAGUCGGGGGUGAAAUCCCGAGGCUCAACCUCGGAACUGCCUUCGAUACUGUCAGUCUUGAGGUCGGGAGAGGUGAGUGGAACUCCGAGUGUAGAGGUGAAAUUCGUAGAUAUUCGGAAGAACACCAGUGGCGAAGGCGGCUCACUGGCCCGAUUCUGACGCUGAGGCGCGAAAGCGUGGGGAGCAAACAGG
rnacentral:rRNA from 1 species